rnacentral:rRNA from 1 species
AACAUCUGCACCUAAAAAUAAUCUUAAUCCAACAUCGAGGUCGCAAUCUUUCUUAUCGAUAUGUUCUCUCUAAGAAAAUUACGCUGUUAUCCCUUAAGUAACUUAAUCUUUUAAUCAUUAAAAAUGGAUCAACUCAUAUACUAAUGAAAAAAAGUUAAAUAAAUUUUCCUAUCACCCCAAUAAAAUAUUAUAUAAAGCUUUAAAGGGUCUUCUCGUCCUUUAAUAAUAUUUAAGCUUUUUAACUUAAAAAUUAAAUUCUAAAUCAUUUAAAAUAAGACAGUUAAUAUUUCAUUCAAUCAUUCAUUCUAGCUUCUAAUUAAGAAACUAUUGAUUAUGCUACCUUUGCACAGUCAAAAUACUGCGGCCUUUUUCAAUGGGCAGAUUAGACUUUAAAUU